rnacentral:pre_miRNA from 1 species
GUGAGAAUCACAGUGCGGUUCUCCUCUGGCAUGGAGGCCAAAGUAGCAGGCAUGGACAAUGCACAGUGCUAUCGCCAUCCCUGCCAAAGGAGAAUUGCCCUGCCAUUCGGUA